CCUACGGGAGGCAGCAGUGAGGAAUAUUGGUCAAUGGGCGCUAGCCUGAACCAGCCAAGUAGCGUGAAGGAUGACUGCCCUAUGGGUUGUAAACUUCUUUUAUAUGGGAAUAAAGUGCAGUAUGUAUACUGCUUUGCAUGUACCUUAUGAAUAAGGAUCGGCUAACCCCGUGCCAGCAGCCGCGGUAAUACGGAGGAUCCGAGCGUUACCCGGAUUUAUUGGGUUUAAAGGGAGCGUAGGCGGGUUGUUAAGUCAGUUGUGAAAGUUUGGGGCUCAACCGUAGAAUUGCAGUUGAUACUGGCAGCCUUGAGUACAGUAGAGGUAGGCAGAAUUCGUGGUGUAGCGGUGAAAUGCUUAGAGAUCACGAAGAAUUCCGAUUGCGAAGGCAGCCUGCUGGACUGUAACUGACGCUGAUGCUCGAAAGUGUGGGUAUCAAACAGGAUUAGAUACCCUGGUAGUC
rnacentral:rRNA from 1 species